UUUUCUAUUUGCUGCGCCUGUGUUGUAAUUUUGAUGGAUGUGUUUUGUGCUUUUGCAGCGCUUUUCAAUUUGCACUGCGCUGGGCUUUCUCGGCCACCGUAGAAUUAUUAUUAUUACUAGCAUUUUAUUAGACUUCCAUUUGAUAACAGAAGAAACUAACAACUAUCAGUAAUGCACCUAGCAAGCUAGUUAGCUAUACUAGCUAAUGCUGAGCUGUGUGGGCUAACGUAAAAUAUAAGAAAAUCUUCGUAGUUGUGUAGGUAUGAAGAUGCAUAUAGUUUAAAGCCUUUCUCUAGCUUUCUAGUGGUAGGCUUUACUGGUCUCCUGGACGUUGAGGUUCUUUUAUUUUUUUUUUAGAAGCUCUUGUAAACACCAGCUGAAAAUACUGCCAUAGCGAGUGUAUUAGAAAAUCCAAACAGGAAACGCUCGAGCAGCACUGAUGAGAAUGCGGAAGUAGUUGUGCAAAGAGCGCAUUGUUACAUUUUCAGUUUGAAGAUUGAGCAAAAAUGUACCCGUGGUUUUCAGACAAGCCAAAUUUGGCAGGAUAACCGCGAACCUGGCAACUCUGGGGAAAAGCGUUCUGUGAUUGGACUGCAAGAGCAGAAGAUUUAGACAAACAAGUAUCAGCAGUUACAGGGCGGGACUAUGCUUUGGAUGAUGUUCGGAGAAAAGACGCUAAAAUUGGCUCUCAGAUUGAAUGAACUGAAUGAAUAUACAGGUUAUGGUUUGCCCUCGUUUCUUUGACGGAGGGACCAAUGCAGUGAGCACUGUGUCAACCAGCUGGAUACCUGACUCUGACCCAACAGAAACCUCCCCGCAGUCCUUCUAAAGUUAUCUGGCAAGGUGAAACUGGGGAAGGAAGGCACCAUCACUGUCUCAGCCCAUUGUUGGAAGACUGCAAAAGCACAAGCUACAGCCAGUGGGACGGCACGAGUGCUACUGAUGGAACUCUUUAAUGUUGAUGUUUUUCUGAACUUUAAGCAUACCUUUAUCUGUUUUUGUAUUAUACAUAUAGUAGUAUAUGGUAGUAUAUAUUCUUGAAUUUAUAGUGAAGUGUAAUGUUAAAUAUAUAAUAAAAUAAAUUGUGAUGUGUGGUAAUAGAUGGUAUGUGUAUUAUUGAUAGUAAUAUAUUAAAAUAUAUUCUUGAA